CCCCCCAAGGGGAAGCCCCCUCUUCCACCCCCUGCCUCAGUUUCCCCCUCACACAACAACUCCCUCCGUCCCCUCGACAUCCCUCACGUCGGCCUCAUCGUUAGGACCCUAAAAGGUCCCGUUAUCACCCCGUUUUCCCCCUGGGGGGUCGCCCUUCCUCGGGUAGACACCACCCCAAGUCCCGAACCCCCCAAGGGGAAGCCCCCUUUUCCACCCCCUGCCUCAGUUUCCCCUCACACAACAACUCCCUCCGUCCCCUCGACAUCCCUCACGUCGGCCUCAUCAUCAGGACCCUGAAAGGCUGGGCCCUCAUCGGCUCCUGGAGCGAGGGAGAAGGUGCCGGCUCCGGGCGAGGGAACCCGCCGCUGGGAAGGAGCUCCUGGAAGAUGGAUCCCGGCCGGAGCGAGCCCCCGGAGGAGCCAGGGAGCCGGCGGCCAGUGGAGAACGGGCUGAGCCCGGAGCUCCGGGUGGAGAAAUACCCGGAGAAGGGGAAGCUGCUGGGGCCGGCGCUGAGCCGCAUCCGGAGCGGUAGGAACACCAGGAAAGGGGGGGGAUUUCCUCCAGGAAAAGGGGGGAGAUUUCCCCAGGAAAAGGGGAAAUUUCCUCCGGGAAAGGGGGAAAUUUCCACCGGGAAAAGGGGGAAAUUUCGCCAGGAAAG
rnacentral:lncRNA from 1 species